rnacentral:rRNA from 1 species
CUACGGGCGGCAGCAGCAGGGAAUAUUGCACAAUGGACGGAAGUCUGAUGCAGCGACGCCGCGUGGAUGAUGAAGGCCCUCGGGUUGUAAAAUCCUUUUCAGGGGGACGAGGAAGGACGGUACCCUUGGAAUAAGCGUCGGCUAACUACGUGCCAGCAGCCGCGGUAAGACGUAGGACGCAAGCGUUAUCCGGAUUUACUGGGCGUAAAGCGUCUGUAGGCGGAAUGGUAAGUUGGACGUGAAAGCUCCGGGCUCAACCCGGAGAGGUCGUUCAAUACUGCCAAACUAGAGGGCAUCAGAGGAGCGUGGAAUUUCCGGUGUAGCGGUAAAAUGCGCAGAUAUUGGAAGGAACACCAAUGGCGAAGGCAGCGCUCUGGGAUGAACCUGACGCUAAGAGACGAAAGCUAGGGGAGCGAACAGGAUUAGAUACCCUAGUAGUC